CCCUUAGAUGUUCUGGGCGGCCCGCGCACUACAUUGGCACUAGCAAAGAGAUCCUAGAUUGAAUUCUUUGGGGUAUUCUUCUAAAUGGUGUCGUGUCUGGGAUAAAUCCUUGUAAUUAUUGGUUUUGAACGAGGAAUUCCUUGUAAUCGCGGUUUAUCAGCUCGCGUUGAAUGCGUCCCUGCCCUUUGUACACACCGCCCGUCGCUCCUACCGAUGGAUCGUCCGGUGAAGCUCACGGAGUGACUGUUCACGCAACGGUUUACGAAGUGAAAUGGACCUCACGAUUUAGAGGAAGGAGAAGUCGUAACA
rnacentral:rRNA from 1 species